UACGUACGAGGCGAGCGUUAUCCGGAAUUACUGGGCGUAAAGCGCGCGCAGGGUGGAUAUUUAAGUUGGGCGUGAAAAUCUCCCCGGCCUAACUGGGUAAGGGGUCGCCCCAAGACUGGGUGUCUUGAGGCUGGCAGAGGUAGGUGGAAUUCCUGGUGUAGUGGUGAAAUGCGUAGAGAUCAGGAGGAACACCGGUGGCGAAGGCGGCCUACUGGGCCAGCACUGACGCUGAGGCGCGAAAGCUCGGGGAGCGAACGGG
rnacentral:rRNA from 1 species